rnacentral:rRNA from 1 species
UACCUGCAGCUCAAGUGGUGGCCGUUAUUAUUGGGCCUAAAACGUCCGUAGCCGGUUUAUUAAAUGCCUGGGUAAAUCGGACCGCUCAACGGUUCGAAUUCCGGGUAGACUGAUAGACUUGAGACUGGGAGAAGCUAGAGGUACUCCUGGGGUAGAGGUGAAAUUCUGUAAUCCUAGGGGGACCACCAGUGGCGAAGGCGUCUAGCUAGAACGGGUCUGACGGUGAGGGACGAAGCCCUGGGGCGCAAACCGGAUUAGAUACCCGGGUAGUCCAGGGUGUAAACGCUGCUUGCUUGAUGUUAGUCGGGCUCCGAGCCCGAUUAGUGUCGGAGAGAAGUUGUUAAGCAAGCUGCCUGGGAAGUACGGCCGCAAGACUGAAACUUAAAGGAAUUGGCGGGGGAGCACAGCAACGGGUGGAGCGUGCGGUUU